rnacentral:rRNA from 1 species
GAUGAACGCUGGCGGCGUGCCUAAUACAUGCAAGUCGAGCGACGCGGGGACGGGUGAGUAACACGUGGAUAACCUCCUAUAAGACUGGGAUAACUUCGUGAAACCGGAGCUAAAACGGAUACUUAUAGAUGGAUCCGCGCUGCAUUAGCUAGUUGGUAGGGUAACGGCUUACCAAGGCAACGAUGCAUAGGCGACCUGGGAGGGUGAUCGGCCCAAAUGGAACGGAGAAAAGGGCCAGACUUCCACGGGAGGGCGGAGUGGGGAAUCUUCGGAAAUGGGGGGAACCCUGACCGAGCAACGCUGGGUGAGUGGAGAAGGUUUUCGGAGCGGAAAGCUCUGUUGUGAAGGAAGCGGUACUUAACCAGAAAGGGACGGCUAACUACGUGCCAGCAGCCGCGGUAAUUC